CAGGCAUUCUUGGCGCUCCGCCCAAAAAAUUGCAAAAAUAAAAGUUGCUUGAAUCAUGUUGAAUGUCACUUAAUCGUGUGGCUUUCAAUG
ensembl:ncRNA F26D10.23 ncRNA